UAAUGAAAUGUUUCUUCGAAUCAUGUGGUUUUUAAAUAAAUAAUUUAAAAAAUUUAGUACCCUGAGAGAUAGGGGCAGUAUAAGGGAAAUAAGAUUGUAAUUGAAUUUCCAUGGGGUGUACACUGGUACCAUCCUUCUGAAAGCAAUCUGUUAGAAAGUACUGAAGACUUGAAAGUAAGCCAUGGCUCAAAAAGCAACUCUUACUCUAUGACAUCUUUCUUUAAACCAAUAAGGAUCAGUUUAAUAGCUAUUACACAGCUUUCUCUAGCUAAGGUUUUUGCUAAAAUCUAUCAAAAUUAAGAAGUUGGCUCCUUCACAUGUAUAUUUGUGUGUAUGGAGAGAGGCUCUUUAGAAGCUUGCUACGGAUCAAAAUCCUCAUUUUUAUGAGUUUUAAAAACUUAAACUUUUUGUUAUAAACCAAAACAAAGUAUCCAUAUUGAGCUCAUUUUCUGAUUUCUAAAGACUAUACAUACUCUCUUUAUAAUUGUGUUUUGCAUACUGCCCUAUUGAAUCUGGAAUUCUUUAAACGACUUCAGCCAUCCUUGACUUCCCAUUUGACUUCCCAUCUGGUCUUAUUGUUCUCAGUGCUUUCAGAGUAUCCAGCAUGAUGCUGGCCACUUAGUAGACAUGUAGCAAGCUUCUUUCUUUCCUGUCUUUAUCCUUUUAGACCCAGCUCAACUGUCCUUGCCUCUUUGAGACUAGCUCCCAACUUCCCUGGGCAGUUAUGAGCCCCUUUUUCUUUCUUCUCCCAUAGCAACACACACAUGUCAUCUGUGGUGGUGUUUUCCCUCUAACCACUUGCUUCUUCUUAGAGGAUCCUGUUAUCUUUGUGACCAGCACAGCCAGUGUGCAGAGUAUAGCAGGGAAGGAACUGUGAAUGUCCAUAUGAAUGAGUGGAUCAAUUAAUUUCUCUAUUCUAACACCUUCUCCUUUUAGUUCAUAAAAAUAAGCUUCUUUUAAACAUUUUUCUCUUUGAGGGGAUAUGACUUUAAGAAAGAAGGAUACAUUUUUCUCUUCGAGGGGAUAUCACUUUAAGCAGGAAGGAUACAUUUUUCUCUUGGAGGGAAUAUCACUUUAAGAAGGAAAGGAUACAUUUUUCUCUUUCAUAGAGUAUCACUUUUAGUAGCAAAAGAUCUCAAAGCCUAGAUGUUACAAGACUAGAGAUUAGAGGCAGUUUAUUAUAAGGCUUUAUAUAACAAAUUUUGGAAAUGUUUAUACAAUUCCAUUAUCUAUAGACUGGCUUUAACUGCUAUUUUAAGGAAGAAAAAGCCCUCUGCCUUUCACAGUUUCUGCAGAUGAUAUGUUUUGGCAACAGUUCAUCCUAAGAAGGAUUCUGGCAGCUUCCCCAAUUUACUGAAAUUUGUGAGAGCAGUAUAGAGUGUGGAAGUGUUUAUGUGUGCUUCACUCGGCUUGUUUUUCUAAAGACGGGGUCUCCUGUGUCUCUGGCUGGCCUGGAACUUGCAGCACUGCUCCUGUCUCUGCCUCUGGAGGGCUUGUGUUGCAGGUGUGCAUCGCCAGGCACAGCUCUUUGUUUUUUGAUUUUUUUAAUUUAAAAAUUUAACUAAUAAAUAAAAAUUAUACAUUAACUGUUUUCUUUUUUCUUUGGUGAGGAGGGUGCCAGACUGAAAGCACAGAGGCGUUGUUUCUACUCUAAAUAAGGAACAUCGUGGUUUUCUUUUAUGUAGAAAUGAAAGUGAAAUCUAGAAAUCCUGCUAAUCAUGACAAAGUGCUCGAAAAUAACUACACCACACCCUUGAUAGCAUAGAUAAAGCAUCGGCUUUGAGUAGCACAAACAAACACUCUCUCCGCUUGGAGUGUUCUCAGUCUCUCUGGGUGUUCUCAUUAAUCUUGGACGGAUAUAAACUCCAGGUAAUUUGACUAAUUCUCAUGCUGGGUAAAUUCUAUCUCUCUCAGAGCUCUGAUGAAUAGUAACAGUUCCUACUGAGAAAGAGCAAUGGUACUGUGUGUGGUGCUAACCUGCUUCAUAGCUGUGGCUCAGGAGAAAAUGUUUUAUACUUGGAAGACAGAAAAUCUCAGCUGAGACACUGUCACUUUGUUUUCCAAAGCCUCAGUUUUGUCAACUACAAAAAGGGCAUAAUGUUGACCUCUCAAAAUUUUAAGAAAUUACCACAGUAAAGCCAGUGGAGAUGUUUCAUAAACUGUUCCAUGCUUGAUUUUUAAAAAUGCAAGAUAUUGGGAAUGAGGAGAAAAACUUAAAACUUUUAGGUGAAAGCAACACAUUUUUCAUUCACCAUAUUAAGCUUUCAAAAAAUAAUGUCCCUUGACUGUACUUAUUGGGAAAGAAAAUGGAAGAAUACAGUCCAAUGUGCUUUCUCUUCUGGGUAGUGGAAACAGCCUUUCUUUUAUUUUUACUUUCUUACUUGUCCAUAAUGAUGAUGAAUUAACUUGCAGUAUUUUAAUUUUUAAGAGGUAAAAGAAGCCAAGCUCGCUUAAAUGUAAGUUAAGCCACCGCUGCCCCAGCUGGCACCAAGGCAGUGCUGGGCUUUGCUCUGAGUGUCUUCAUUCUUGUUCCAGCUUGGGGCCCAACUGAGCUCACAAGAAUUCUGCUCUUUCAGCAUCUUCUAACACCUGUCACUGCUCUUCGGCUUAAUCAGCACCUUGUGGUAAGGACAAACUCAGGUCAGUCAGGGCAUGCUCUGGGUCACAGCCAAGAAAAAUGUCAACCCUGGUUGAGGGAGCCAAGAGCUAACGGUUUAGGGGUUCAGUUACAUUUACCAGCCUGGGCAUCUCAGGAGCUGCCCUGAUUUCUGCCCCUGCCAGGUGACAGCCUAAACAUGGGGUGGUUGGAAAACAGCACUGCACUGUGGAGUUCUCUCAAAGUAUGAGCGUGUCUGUCUGCCUAUCUGUUUCUCAUUCCAUUUCUAUCUCUCCCCUAUUCCCCUGAACAUACUGUUUUCUCUGUCUAGAAAUUUCCAUAUACCCCUAUUAGCCUGGCUAAGAUUUCUGCAACUACUUUGACCUCACCCUCAUUUAGGAUGGCACCCUUGACUCACUCUGUGCUGUUGUGGUCAUUUCCCAUGAUCACACCCUACUCCUUACUAUGUGAUAUGCCCACAGUUGACAAAGGAGAGUUCUCAAGAAGGGUUUGUCAAUAGUGGCCAGUUCUGGCUGCCUGAUUGGGAGACUCUACCCACAGUCUCAUCCUGCUUACUUCCUCUGAUCAAAUAGUGUCACCUGUAAAAGAUGGCCCCACAGAUGCUUCUCCAGGACACUCCAGUCCCAAGGGGGGGUGUCCCCAGAACUCCCAGACUCUCCACUUAGCACUGCUGCACUGCCUCAUGACAGUCCUGGAACUUGGUUUCCUUUCCACAGAGUGCCUCUAGAGGGAGGUACUAAGUGCCUGGAACUGUGUCUUAACAUCACCUUAUAUACUCAACAAACAAGAAUCAGUGCUAGCACGUCCCAAAGAACAAGACAUGUCUCCUAUCCACACAGAUGAGGAGGCAGGCAACAGCUUACCUGAGUUAAGUCUAACUUGGGUCUAAGCCUAUUCCCAAUGGGCUAUCUCCAGACAGGGGAUGUUGCCAUGUUCUCCGGAGGCUUUGCCUUAUUAGAAAAUGUACUCAGAGGCUAUGCAAGCAGAAUAGGCUGAGAACCAGAUAGAAUAUCUGACCCUCUGUGCCAUACAGCCAGUCAGGCACGCUGAGUAGAAAGGUCCUGGAGUAUCUGUGGUGAACAAUGUCCUCUUGGGAGAAACCAGACCCUAACCAGGUAAUUACAAGUAUGCCAAGUGCUAGAAGUUGGUGCAAAGAAGUCUACACACGGAAGGUUUCUCUUAAGAAAUUAAAAUGAAAUAUAUUCCAUGAUAUAUUUCUUCAGGUUAUCAUUUCUGUAUGAUACAUUGUCACUUAUAUAGAUGGGAUAAGGAAAAACUAUAGCUAGCCCCUAGUUGUAAAAAGAUCACACUUUACUAGUAUAUCCCCAACUGACACCAAGUUCAUCUUCAGCCAGAUUUCCUCUCCCUCUUUCCCAACCUUUCCAUUUUCCUAAAGAAGGAUUUUAAAAAAUAGUGAUAUUCUAUAUAUUCAGUGACUUAACCUUGAAUUUCCUAACAAAACCAAAGUGGGUUGGAACUGACACUCUGCCACUGUGUGUAUAUGGGCACAUCACUAUCCACAGUCAGAGGAACAGCCAGUUUGGCACCAUGGAAUCAACUUAAAACAACAGGACCAUGAUCCUUCCCAGCUCUUCCCCCAACUCUUACUCCUAACAAAAAACACAUUUAUCCCUGGCACAUGUAAUGCUAAAGACUGAGGGCAUGUCACUGGCUGUGUGUUUCUGAUAACUAUGUGAGAAAGUUGCUGUUUCUGCACGAUGAACAAACAGGUAUGUACUUGGUAAGUCAACUGCCAUAGUACUGCAGGAUUAUUCUUUAAAUGCUACUGGUUUGUUUUACCUCUUGAGCCAGAAGUCUGACUCAUUUGCACAUCUUUUCUUUUGUAAAAGCUUGAUUCUUCCCAUAGAGAUCUUGGGGUCCCCAACCCUGGACUCUGGAGUGGGAAUGGGGCUGAGUCCUCACAAGAAUCCCAUCUCACUACAGGAGGGAAGGAUUCUCUACUAUGUGUUAAAGGAAAAAAAAAUCAACAAAAAAUGUGCUGACUGUCACUUAUGGAGCAUCAUACAGAAAAUUACAAGUGACUUUUAGAGAUCCUUCCAACAGCAGGAAUCUGUUUGUCUAAAUAGAAGGUGCCAAGGGAAGGGUGUACUUGCCCGCUCACUCAACAUGUAUUUGGAGAACAUCUCUUCUACUCUGGGCUCUCUAGGAGGCUCCUGGAAUACAAUGGAAAUUAGGUCAGAUGAGCCCCUAUGUUUAUGGAACUUACAGUGGAGCCAACAUAAAUAACUGUAAAUAAAAUGACAGCUGUGGUGAGAUCAACAAAGGAUAGGUAUAUGGAGGCCUAGGAGGCAAUACUCAAGGAAUGGUACCCACUCUGGAAGGUCAUGGAUGCGUUCCCAAGAAAGUGCCUCUGCUAUCACUUGGGAAACUACAGAAAUAAACUACUUGCAUUCAGAGACAUUACAUAAUUCAAAUAUUUCAAAAUUCAGAGAAAUCACUACUGUCCACCCUAUAAAAGAACUGCCAGGAACAUUUACCAGCAAGGGAUGUGGUGGGUGGGCAAUAAGCCUGGAACUAAGGGACCACGAGUUUAGUUGAGUGAGCUCAGUUAUGCUCAGGCACAGCACUGGAGAUCCAUACUAUGUAGCCUGUUUAUUACAAUGUUUAACAAUUUACCAAUUUUUUAAAAAUCUCUAACAAAUUGUUUACCUUAACAAUUUUCUUUUUUCUCAAAGACAGAGAAGAAGAACUGUGGAGUAGUCUUAUGAGACAUUCUCUCUUUGGACAUACAAAACAUCAAGGGGACGUUAGAACCAUGGCUAGCACCAGGUUUUGUUGAAUGGGUUAAUAAGUGAAAACAAGCUUUAUCAAGCAAGAGUCUAAAGUCUGAGUUUCAUCCAAAAAAAAAAUCAAUUCUACAAAUAUAACAUAAAGGACUUUUCCUAAUAGAUAUUUUUGGGUAUAAACAUUAGGGGUUUAAUUAUCUACAACCUGAUGUAGGUUCAACAAUAUUAUAAAGCUUUCUCAAGCUAACCUAACUGCAAGUUCCACCAAGGAAAGCACAGUGCCCAGUUCCAAAAAAGGAAUCAUCCCACACACUCUUCCACUGCCAGGCCUGGAAGAUUUGGGCUCAUUUGGGCAUGACUUCCAUGAGAGGCAAUGAUGAACUCAGAAACAUCUAGAAACUUGUGGCUCCCCAGAGGUGAGGGGCUGAUCGGAGGUACCUAUCAACAAUGUGAAGAAUGACUAGAGGAGCAAAGACGAGUACUCUGGAAAGGGCAAGACCUGAGAGCUGCAUCUAGCAUUUGAAGAGCUGCUGUGUAAGACAGCAGCAGCUGUGCUAUCCUGUUUCCAGGCCUCUUCCUCAUCAGUCAAUGCCACUUCUCCGGCUGGGUCUAAUCCUCACCUUGCCCAAUGCUUCCCACAUGGGCCUAUUGGAUCCCCAUGGACCUGUUUGUGGUCAUGGCUAUCCAUCCACUGGCCUGGUCAAAUAGCCCACAGCAGAAGAAGACUGGGAGAUACACAUUCUGUUGUUGGUUGAAGGGAUCAUGCCAGGGACCAGAGUAAGAGGAGACCGGUGCAAGAAAGUUCACGGUUACUUCCCUUGAUGGGCUGAAGGUUCCAGAGCAAGUUCCUAUGGACCACCCUCCAGAACAUGACAUCUCAACUUGCCAUAGGGAAGGUUUUGCUGUUGCCCUCCUUGCCUUAAAGCCUUCUCUGUACCACACAAUCCAGAAGUUCUUGCCCUAGGCAGAGAAGAACUGGAAGCAGGACUCAAAUGCUCACACACCACUGUUCACAGCAGCGCUACUCACAGCAGGCACACAGGGAACAUAACCCGAAUGUCCUCCAUCAGACGAACGGAUAAACAAUGCAUUGCACAUACACAAAAUGGAAUAUUAUUCAGUCUUAAAUGGAAGGAAAUCAGAUUGGAGGGUGUUGAGUGAAUGGGUGGGUGGGGAAGUAAAGUAGUAGAGAAACAAAGCAGACGUUAAAAUAAAAAAGGAAAUCCUGUCACACACUGCAAUACAAAAGGAUCUUGAGGACUUAAACUGAGUGAAAUCCUCUAGCCACAAAAAGACAGAUUACUGCAUGAUUCCCCUUCCAUGUGCUAUCUAAAGUCAUCAAAACCACAGAAACAGAAUGGGGAAGGGAGAGCUCAGGGGAGGGAGAAAUGGGGAGUUAUUUAAUAGGUGUUGAGUUUUAGGUUAACAAGAUGAAAACAUUCUAAAGAUCUGUUGCAUAGCAAUAUGAAUAUGGUUAACACUAUUGAACCAUAUAGUUGAAAUGGCUAUGACAGUGAAUUAUGUUUUUAUUACAGUCAAAUUGUCUUUUAAAUUGGUUACUAUCAAAUAGUUUACCAUUCAAAGAUGGUAUUGCUAUCUACGCAUAAGGGGACACUCGUUUUAUUUUUUUGAGACAGGUGAUAUAUUUUCCAGGAUAGCCUCAAACUUGCAUCUUCCUGCCUCAGCCUCCCAAGUGCUGAGAUUACAGGAUUGUACCACUAUACCCAGCUUAAAAUCUUUUUGUUGAACUCAAGGAGAAGGGAAGAGUGAAGUUCUGAUCCAUGUGCCUACAUAAAGGAGUCAUGAAAACACUAUGCUAAGUGAAAUUUGACAGACACUAAAAGACAAGUGUUGAAUAUCACUUACACAAGGGACCUAGAUCAGGCAAGUACAUUGAGACAAAAAGUAGACUUGACGAUCCCAGGGGCUGGAGAAUGGGGGUAUGGGAACAGCUGUUUCUGUCACUGGAAUUUCUGAUUGGACUGUGAAAAAGUUCUGACUAUGGAUGAUGAUGACUAUAAGUGCCCCUGAGAAAUGCCUAAAGUGAUAAAUCUGAUGUUCUAUGUUACCUUCCCCAGUCAAGGGAAAACAGUUUGGUGACUCAUGUUUCUUUAAAACAAGCUAAGCCCAUUUUCUUUUCCUGUCACUCAUCUCUGAACCUUCUCUAAUUUCAAAGCUCUGGGGACAGCAUGAGACACCAAUAUGGGGCCCACUAAUGACUUAUUUCGUGUAUUAAAAUGUCCUGUAAAAGUAGAUACUAGCUUACUGUCAUGGUGUCACACAUGUUUAA